UGGGGUGAGAAACGACGGAGAGUGAACAGUGGCGAGGGGUCGCUCCUCCAACCGAGGGUUGUCGUGCCGGUGGGGAGGUUUGACCUGAGCUAGUUCCCCUCCAUUCAAUCCACGGCCACAAUAUCGGUUAUAGCGAGCCACUGUUGCCAGAUUGUGCGCCUCGACGGCGGCGGUGGCGGCGUGUGGGUGGAGCCACGCGAUAGAGGGAAAGGUUCCCCUGUAACAUCACCACUGUCCUCUUCUCUCGUCCUCGUACAUACUGCUCGAUCCGAGAAACGAAGUACGUCUGUCCGUUUCUCUUCCUUCGUUCCUCCAGUCUCGCUCUCUUUUUCCUGCCGCUCUUUCUCUUUCUUUCUUUCUAUAGAGCGCACGUCCUCUCUUUCUACACUACCGUCCUCCGUCUUCCGUUCUCGGUUGCUCCCGCGCUGUUGUUGUCGCUACCGGGACGCACGCAGACCCCUUCGAAACCGAGGUGCAUGUGGCAUUUCUACGUACGCCGUCCGGAACUUAUGUAGCAACGGACAAUCACGGUCAUCUCGAACGUCUUUCCAGCGGCAGCCUCGAAAGAUCGGUCGCAGCGUUGCCUUGUCGCAAGCUACAACUAUAUCGAUGUAUAUAUAUUGUAGAAGUUUUGGACGGUUGCUUGGAUAUCAAUCGGGCAGCUCCAUUAUGCAUCACGAAGCUUACCCCAGCCAGCUCAAGAAUAAACGUCGAGGAGGGUGUUAGCCUGAGUUCACCACAUAGGGGAAAGUUUAAGUAUUUCAAGGCAACGAAUAUUAUAUUGGAACGUUGAAUUCAUGCGGUCUUAAUAAAUCGAGUAUAAGACGUUACCAGCGAAUCAACUCGAUAAAUUAAUCGAAUUUCGUCAUAAUUUAGUUUUCAUCGUUAUUAAAUAGAAAAUACACAGUCAAAAUUGACCUAUCUACAAUUACGUUAUUAUAUACUUUACUUAUGUAUAUAUUUUA